AGUACGAAAGGAACAGGUCGCCGUGGCCUCUGGUGGAUCGGUUGUCUGACAAGGCACUGCCGAGUAGCUACGCCAUAGUGGAUAAAAGCUGAAUGCAUCUAAGCUUGAAGCCACUCCCGAAACGAGACACCCAUUCUCUUGUCACAUGGUGGGGCUGGUGACAGCAACAUCGACAAGGGACGAAGGCACCCAUAGAAGAUGGGAUUGAUAGGCUGGGGGUGUAAGCUGCAAGCUUCGGCGAGCAGUUCAGCCCACCAGUACUAACCGCCUGAGGUGCUU
rnacentral:rRNA from 1 species